rnacentral:rRNA from 1 species
UACGGAGGGUGCAAGCGUUAUCCGGAUUCACUGGGUUUAAAGGGCGCGUAGGCGGCCCGCUAAGUCGAACGUGAAAUCCCCGAGCUCAACUCGGGAACUGCGUCCGAUACUGGCGGGCUUGAAUCCGGGAGAGGGAUGCGGAAUUCCAGGUGUAGCGGUGAAAUGCGUAGAUAUCUGGAGGAACACCGGUGGCGAAGGCGGCAUCCUGGACCGGCAUUGACGCUGAGGCGCGAAAGCGUGGGGAGCGAACAGG